rnacentral:rRNA from 1 species
GGUUUAUUNGCACAAUGGNCGCAGCCNUGAUGCAGCGACGCCCGCGUGAGGGAAUGAAGGCCUUCGGGUUGUAAACCUCUUUCAGUAGGGAACAAGCGUAAGUGAGGGUACCUGCAGAAGAGCGCCGGCUAACUACGUGCCAGCAGCCGCGGUAAUACGUAGGGCGCAAGCGUUAUCCGGANUUAUUGGGCGUAAAGAGCUCGUAGGCGGUUUGUCGCGUCUGCCGUNAAAGUCCGGGCCUCAACUCCGGAUCUGCGGUGGGUACGGGGCAGACUAGAGUGCAGUAGGGAAGACUGAAAUUCCUGGUGUAGCGGUNAAAUGCNCAUAUAUCAGGGGGAACNCCGAUGGCGAAGGCNGGUCUCUGGGCUGUAACUGACCCUGAGGAGCNAAAGCUUGGGGGAGCNANCAGGAUUAGAUNCCCUGGNAGUCAAGGGGCNAAUUUCCAGCACACUGG